AAUACUAUGUUAACAUUUAAAAUUUGACAUAAAAAGCAAAGUGGUCCAAAGAAGUUUGAAACUAAAUGUUGAACACUCUACUGAGUCCAUGGACCAAACUCACUCCUUUUUAUGAAACCCCAUGUGGGUGAUGCAGGUUAUCAGGAACAAUUCUAAGUUACUACAGCUUUGUCACAAACCACCCUAAAAACUUAAGAGGUUCAAACAGUAAUCAUUUCUCUCGGAUUCUGUGGACUAGGAAUUUAGGAAAGGCUCUACUUGGCAGUUCCGACUCCAGGUAUCGGAUGUAUUUGCAUUUACAGCCGCUAGAGCUGGGCUAGCGGGAAGUUAGAACACGAGGGACUGGCCAGACGUUUCUGCUUGUAGUUUCAGGAUCGCUCUGUGUGGGCUGGUCUGGGCUUCCUCACAGAAUUGGCUUCAGGGUGACUCAAGGACUUACCAGCCUGUGUAGCUUUUGCGUGUUCCAACAGACCAGCUGUAAGCUGUGUUGCCUUUGAUCUAGCUUUGGAAGUCACAGAGCAGUCCUUUUGUCGUGUCAACCAGUCACCUCUUGAUCUGGGGAAUGUCAGACUUUAUGGAUCUUUUACAACCGCCACAUCUCCCCUCAGGAAGCCCAUCUGGUGUGAGAGAGGCAAGACCAGCCUAGAUACUGCCACCAGGAGAAUACCAAAAGAUACAAUUACCAUGGGAGAGAUGGUGAACUUUCCUUCUUGGCAAUAUCUACUACCCCUCCUGGGUGGUAUUACAGGAGUUUACAGCAGUCUCCAACUUGGAAAUAGUAUCAGGAUGCUGCUCCAACGAUCUUUCACGUCAAGGUCAGCCCACCCCCCAGUUGGGAACUGGUGGGAGCUACAGCCUGAAAGGACAGCGGAAGGAGGAGGGAAGACACACUAUAUUCAUCUACUCCGACAAGCAUCACGGGCAAAGCAAAAGCAAUGGAGAUGACUGGUCUGUGGGGAGGGGGGGUGGCACUCUCACAGGGAUGGCCGUGGCAGACACUGCUGAAGCCCAGAGCCACUACAACACUGCGACUUCAUGGCACACACAGUUAGGGGCAGUGAGAAAGGUUUACUUAACUGUUCUAGGCUGUAGCAAGGAUGGUUUAUGUUUGUGCUUAAAGGUGAAGAGAAGAAAAGAAACAAGGAGAGAAACUUUAGGUCAGAUAUAGAAAAUGAGAAUGAGCUCAAUGCAGAUGGUCAGUAAGCUAGACAUGCCCUUGCCACUCUAGCUACACUUGGGAACGUGCAGCUGGCUUUGCUGGGCCACCCUGCUGCCCAGCAAACCCAGACUCGACCUUUCCAGUCUCCAUUUCUACUCCAGAGAGAAUGUGCAAAAAAUCAAUCCAACACCACCUGUAAGUCCAGCAUUUCACAAAUCUCAUUGCAAAUGCAUCUGGGGACCCAGGGAACCCCGCUCUGUAUUCUAAAGGGAUGAACGUGUAAAGGUCACAGGCCCUAAGAGGCUCUACAGCCAUGAGCCUAUUGUCCACCCUUCUACCCUCAUCUCCCUUGUAUCAAAAGCUAGUCCUAAUUCUUAAGGAAACAGCAAUACUGCUCUGAAAACAAGAAUCCUUAAGUACUUUUCCAGAGAAGAUGUAGUUUUCUUUGGAGGAAGAAACCACAGUGGCCCACACCAGACAGCUUUGGCCAUCUGGACCUUAAAAAGCUUGGGGCCUCUUUGUGCCACACUAGGGGGAUAGGGCAUCAGAAGGUGGCCACUAAACAAUUUCCAACGUAUAAAACCAUAGAGAAACAAUUACAGAGCUCCCCCCUUACCCAAUGAGACAAUCUCCUCUGCUCUGGACUCUGCUGCCCCAAGGGAGAAGCAACCAACCCCACAUGUCGUUCUAUAGAAUUAAAUGUAGGAAAUCCUGCCUCCCUCCCCGCGCCCCCCCCCCCCAACAGCUCCCAACCACAGAGCUUCCACCUGUUCCAGGUGGGGACACGUCCCGUCCCCACCUAGGGCAGGCAGGUAGCAAGAAGUUAGGGCCCACCCCCGUCCCACAGCCUUCCCAGACAAGGUCACAAAUGACCCACAUUUUAAAAGGGAAUCUGCUUCCUUCUCUCCAAAACCCUGGAUGUGCAAAAGGGCUAUCGGAGUUAAAGGGAGUCACGAUUCUGCAAGACAAAUCGAUGGGUCAUACUCCCAACCUUAUAACUCUUAGGCAAUCCCCAGAGUGCCAAUCUGAAAUAAUUCAGAAAGCAAAGCAACUUGUGACAUAACAGGAACAUUAACUCUAAACAAAAAGUAGAAUCAAAACAAGAAAAGGAAUUAGUUUUGCAACAUACACAUAACCAAUCACGUCAGCGAAGGGUUGUUUGUAGAAAGCUUCAUCUGCCACCCUAGACAGCAAGAGGUCCAAAAGGCAGGCAAGCAGGCAGGAAAAAAGAGAGAACAUUGAGAAGCAGAAACAUCUCAAAUCCACAGUAGAGGCAUGACUGUGCUCCAGGGGGCUGCUCCCAAGGCUCCGUCCUCACCCAGCAAGGCUUCAAGUGCUGGAGACCAGCAGGCAAGGUUCUCCGCUGGCCUUCCCCAGGGGCGGGUUCUCCCAAGGGAGCCCUGCCAACUCCUUCCCCACCUUCUCCUGACAACGGCGAGCCUUUCUCAGCGCCCGCUUCCAGGUAAGCCCUUUUAGAGACUCCGAAUCCAUCCGAUCCAAUCCUCAACCCCAACGACCUAGGAGAACACUAGGACGUGGUCUCACCAACACUUUACAGAUCAGGUAACAGGAGGCCUAGAGAUGAAGCAACCUGCUCAACCCCAAACGGCAGAACUUGGAAGCAGGCCGGCCUGGCUCUCUGCACUGUGCAGUAAGGCUUCUUCCCCGCUGGCGGAUGACCGGGAAGCCACGCCGCCUUCCCGUCAGCCUCAGGGAGUCUCGCUAGGCACGAACGCUGCCAGCUGCCCGACACCAAACACGCUAGGCCCCAAAGCCACUGUCCAACUACUGCUUCUGAACCACCCUGGCUCAAUGGGAUCAGUUUUCAGUAUUCUGGAAACAGAUGAGGAAAAAGUUGCCGACACAAGUGGUCUGGCGGAAAGGACUGCAGCCCAGGGUCCUGGCUCUGGCACCGUCUUCCUGUGUGUCCCCGAAUAAGCUGGUUCGUCCGCUCAGUCCAGCCAGACUGGACUGCCACCACAAGGUGCAGUCCAGAAACCCCAACUUCACUUCCCCUCUCACUCACACCAGGAAUGGAUCAAAGUGGCAGGGCUCUAUGGGACAGAAAGGGAAGGGGGGCACGCUGGGUGGAGGAGUUUACACCCCCACAGACAGGCUGGCUUAUUUAGACUUUGUUGCCCCAGGCUGAAUCCCUGGGCCCAGCCAGCCCACCCCAUCUAUCGUGGGUGGGCAGGGAACCUCCCUGCGGAAAUCUUACCCUGUCCUUUGCCAGGCUGGUUUUGGGGCACAGGAGCGGGAGGGGCAUUUUGAAGGAAAAUCAUGCCUGUUUAUUAACCUAGGGUCACUUAUUUAUUUAAAGGGAAAUUCUAGUAAUUUUAUUUCAGUUUAUUUUUAGACUCACCACAGCCUGCCUUCUUUCCCAUUUUGGUUUAUACAUAGGAGGUGUUUUGUGGAAAUUUGAUUGUAACUCUCAGUGAGUCAGCAGGAAAACAGAGUUGUUUGUGGGCAGAAUGAGUGGGCGGGAAAGGAAAGGCCAGACAGCUUGUAAGCCCAUAAUCCUUUUAGUUUACACAAAGGGCUAAACCUAAUCAAUUUCAGUUUGUGCUUGCUCCUACUGGAAGAAAAUAAAGGUUUAGUGAUUCCAGUGGAGGCAUCACUAAGACAACAAAAGCCUGAAUGCCAGGCUUCUGUUCCUUUGCAGUUAGCCCCAAGACUAAAGAGCUUGUUAGUGACAGCAGAGCCCCAUCCGGGUCGGGUUACAGACAAGCAGGACAAAUGGAAAAUCAUCAUCUAAGUGGCCUGUUUGUUCUUCACCCACCAGACAGAAGGGUCUGAAAGCAGCAAUCCUCAUGGAAGCCUGUGGGAAAGGGGGCGGGGGGAGGGAGGAGGAAUGCCUUUGGGCCUGACCACAGGGUACUCAAGAGGUAACCCACAUCAAUAGCCCCAACGGGGCAUGGGAAAAAUGUCUGCCAACUUUUAGAAGUCUUGAAAGAGGGGAAAAGUUAGCACCAGAGACCCCUGUAAAAGGGGAAAUGUUUCUGUCAGUUUGGAAGGGAACAUGGUCUGCGGCUGGUCUGGAGUACACACUGUCCUGACUGGCUCCCGUGGAGGAGGAAUUUGUUUCCACAGGCUGUCACUAAUAAUUGAUGGCUCUUGUGCAGUGGCAUCUGCACCCUGAGUUGGGAUAAAGGCAGGGAGAUGCAAUCUGAGGACUGACACCAGUCUACAGAUGCAGUGAAGACAAGAUCUGCUGUCAUCUGCCCAGCACCACGCCUGGGCACCUAGAAGGUUUUAGUUUGGGGCACCUAGAAGUCAGGAGCCUGACGAUACACUCAAAUAUAGGCCCUUGCUACCCACUGCAUCUCUUCUUUCAAACUACUCUACCUAUCUUUGUGUUCCCCCUUAAAAAUCCAGCUGCUACAAAAGUCAUCCAGAGAGAAGGGCACAUGCUUGAAACGAACACUUCAUUUUCUCAAAAUACUCACUCUUUACCUACGAACAGAGUUCCUUUACAUAUAUAAAUGGGACUCAGUCCCACAGGAUGCUGUUUAGAGAAUCAAACACGGAGGGGGAGUGGUCAGUGUCACAAUCUCGAGGAGGGGGUGUGUGCCAUUGGAAGAAGUUCCCCACGGUGGCUCUAAACGGCUCCCAUGCUAGUCCAUGAAAACUAACUGGAGUAAAAUGUAAAAACCACCCCUUCCAUCCUGGAACCCUGGUGACAAUGGCUCAUGUGCCUCCAGUUUUACACACUCAGAGUCUGCCCUGUGCUUCGUGACCUGGUUUUGAAACAGCUACACAUUCUCCAUGAGUGGCAAGUUUAAGUCUUUUCCCCUCUCUGGAACUUGGGAAGUUCACCUAUGACAUCAUCCAACCCGACAUUCUACGAUUCUAAGAAAGGUACCAAAGCCCUAAACCGAUGCCUGGAGGGACUAAACCUUAGAGACUGAGCUCCUGAAAACAGGAGUGCUUACUCCAAGGAUAACUGACACUGUAUACAGACAACCCCUUUCUUUCCAGAAGGGCUACAGUUUAGCAAAACUGGCCUGAAAAAAUUUCCGCAAUUAGAAGCCUAUUCCCACCAUAAUAAUUUUUUAAGUCUGAGAAUCUGUAUGUCAACUUGUUUACACAUCAGGGACCCUGAACAGGGAGGGUCAGCCCGGUUUUACCAAGUACUUCAGGGCAGACGGACUCCCGGGCAACUUGCUAGAAUAAAUGGGGCCUCACAGGGUACUUGCACAAAGAACUCGCUCCUCUCCCUUUAGAGAUGUGAACUUGUAUCUGUGGUAAAUCAUCUGGAAUGAGCACAGAAUAAAGCAGCCUGGACCUGUCAGCACUUCAAAAUGACCACAAGCUCAGGAGAAGCCCUGGUAGUUAAUGCUACCCUGAGCAACUCAAUGUGAAGACCAGAAGGCAGUCCCCACCGUAUUAGAACUUCACUGGAACCUGAGAAGCAUUCCUAGAAAAUACCUCCCCACAGGAAGGGGGCCAGGACUAGGCUCCCAUUUGGCAUUUAAGACGCAGCCAACAGAACCAACUAUGGCCAACAAGAGAAAGGUAGCCGCAGCCUACCGCACACAAUGGUCCAUCUGUUCUGCUGUAGGUGCCCCACGAUGGCACAGGCUGGCUGGCAAAGCGGUCUGCUCCCUCUUUUCUGGCAGAUUUCCAGCAAGAAGCUGCCAGAGACCAAAGCACUUAAACCAACUUCUGCCUCUGAGGCAGGAACCUAAGAAGGCGCUUUACCCUGAAAAUUACAACUAUCCCCAGGCUCAGGCUAGCCUAUCUUUCCACUGAGGUAGUGAAGCGACCGUGUUAGAGCUGGGCUCGGGAUGCAGCAGGAAGGUGAGCCAAUGGCCUACAUCAAGGCCAGCAGUGCUGCCUCCACCUCUCUGAGCUACUUCCAAGCAGACUGAGCACGGAGACCACAGCUCCUGCUCGGUGGGGAGAGGAGGAGGCGCUUAGUUUCUCCCUCAACUUUAGGGAGUACAUCAUAAAGAGCACUUUCAAAAGGUCAAUCUUAGGUCAAUUUUCUCAGAUGUACGCGGAGGACCCUUCGUUCUCAAGUCACCGUGUCGGAACAUCCCUGGCUACUGAAUUACAAAGCACAUUUCCCUGCUAGCGGGCCCCUCUGCCUAGCAGCUUUCAGAGAGCGAGGCUGUAUUUAGGGGCUGCAACAUGACCAAGUCUAUAAUCCCCAAAGUACUGAGAUCCUGGUAUAUUCAUAACGCAGCCCUUCAUUUCAGGGUUACGUUUCUGCAUGUGGACUUAAUCCGUGACAUAACUUUCCCUUUUGCUGCUUCAUACCGAUACAAGCAACACAUAUUAACCAAACUCUUAGCUGAAGAGCUAAAUCCACUACAACUGGGAUGGCUAAAGGACAGGCUGGACUAAGCUCAUAAGACCCGAGAGACCUGCAACCUUUAUGUUUCAAGUACUUUUUCCAAAACCUGCAAAUACAUUUCACACUAAAAGAGGCAGCACGUGAGAACUACAUUGGCCACUGGAAAUGAAUUUGAUUCCAUCCUGGAAAGCAAGCAGUGCUGGCAGCACCGGGGACUGACCU